UACGUAGGGUGCGAGCGUUGUCCGGAAUUAUUGGGCGCAAAGAGCUUGUAGGCGGUUUGUCGCGUCUGCUGUGAAAAUCCGGGGCUCAACCCCGGACUUGCAGUGGGUACGGGCAGACUAGAGUGUGGUAGGGGAGACUGGAAUUCCUGGUGUAGCGGUGAAAUGCGCAGAUAUCAGGAGGAACACCGAUGGCGAAGGCAGGUCUCUGGGCCACUACUGACGCUGAGAAGCGAAAGCAUGGGGAGCGAACAGG
rnacentral:rRNA from 1 species